GUAUAAAUCCAAAAUAGAAGAAUUGAAAAAAGAAGUAUCGGGUUUAGAAAGGCAACUAAAAUUGACAGAGGACAUGCAUACAAAAACAUUAAGAGAAGGGACCGGGACAGAAAAUCAACCGAUAAG